AACCCACCAAAUGACUCCUCCCACAAUAUUAUGAUGUUCCCCAAGUUUUCGACUCAAUCCGAUAUUGAUUGGUCCUUGAAAUAGGACAAUUCAGGUUCGUACGAAGUUCGUUCUGAAAUGGCGUGGUUGGUGUAUUGUAAAGUUCUAGAGAUUGGAUUUCACUCAAAACCCAGCAAAUGACUCCUCCCACAAUAUUAUGAUGUUCCCCAAGUUUUGGACUCAAUCCGAUAUCGAUUGGGGCUUGAAAUCUGACAAUUCAGGUUCGUACUAUGUUCGUUCUGAAAUGGAGCGGUUGGUGUAUUGUAUAGUUGUAGGGAUUGUAGUUCACUCAAAACCCACCAAAUGGCCCCUCCCACAAUAUUAUGAUGUUCCCCAAGUUUUGGACUCAAUCCGAUAUCGAUUGGGGCUUGAAAUCGGACAAUUCAGGUUCGUACCAAGUUCAUUCUGAAAUGGAGUGGUUGGUGUAUUGUAUAGUUCUAGGGAUGGUAUUUCACUCAAAACCCACCAAAUGCCUCCUUCCACAAUGUUAUGAUGUACCCCAAGUUUUGGACUCCAUCCGAUAUGGAUCAGUCUACGAAAUAGACAAUUCAGGUUCGUAUGAAGUUCGUUCUGAAAUGGAGUGGUUGGUGUACUGUAUAGUUCUAGGGAUGGUAUUUCACUCAAAACCUGCCAAAUGACUCCUCCCACAAUAUUAUGAUGUUCCCCAAGUUUUGGACUCAAUCCGAUAUCGAUAGGUCCACGAAAUUUGACAAUUCAGGUUCGUAUGAAGUUCGUUCCGAAAUGGGGUGGUUGGUGUAUUGUAUAGUUCUAGAGAUUGGAUUCCACUCAAAACCCACCAAAUGACUCCUCCCACAAUAUUAUGAUGUUCC
rnacentral:lncRNA from 1 species